AUUGAACGCUGGCGGCAGGCCUAACACAUGCAAGUCGAGCGGAUGAGUGGAGCUUGCUCCAUGAUUCAGCGGCGGACGGGUGAGUAAUGCCUAGGAAUCUGCCUGGUAGUGGGGGACAACGUUUCGAAAGGAACGCUAAUACCGCAUACGUCCUACGGGAGAAAGCAGGGGACCUUCGGGCCUUGCGCUAUCAGAUUAGCCUAGGUCGGAUUAGCUAGUAGGGGAGGUAAUGGCUCACCUAGGCGACGAUCCGUAACUGGUCUGAGAGGAUGAUCAGUCACACUGGAACUGAGACACGGUCUAGACUCCUACGGGAGGCAGCAGUGGGGAAUAUUGGACAAUGGGCGAAAGCCUGAUCCAGCCAUGCCGCGUGUGUGAAGAAGGUCUUCGGAUUGUAAAGCACUUUAAGUUGGGAGGAAGGGCAGUAAGUUAAUACCUUGCUGUUUUGACGUUACCAACAGAAUAAGCACCGGCUAGCUUCGUGCCAGCAGCCGCCGUAACAC
rnacentral:rRNA from 1 species